rnacentral:rRNA from 1 species
AUUGAACGCUGGCGGCAGGCCUAACACAUGGAAGUCGAGCGGCAGCGGGAAAGUAGCUGGCUACUUUCGCCGGCGAGCGGCGGACGGGGGAGCAAUGCCUGGGCAAUUGCUCAGUCGAGGGGGCUAACAGUCGGAAACGACUGCUAAUACAACAUCCGCCCUACGGGGGAAAGCAGGGGACCUUCGCGGCUUGCGCGAUUGGACAUGCCAAGGUGGGACUAGCUUGUUGGUGAGGUAAUGGCUCACCAAGGCGAUGAUCCCUAGCUGGUCUGAGAGGAUGAUCAGCCACACUGGAACUGAGACACGGUCCAGACUCCUACGGGAGGCAGCAGUGGGGAAUAUUGCACAAUGGGGGAAACCCUGAUGCAGCCAUGCCGCGUGUGUGAAGAAGGCCUUCGGGUUGUAAAGCACUUUCAGCGAGGAGGAAAGGUCAGUAGCUAAUAUCUGCUGACUGUGACGUUACUCGCAGAAGAAGCACCGGCUAACUCCGUGCCAGCAGCCGCAGUAAAAC